CAGCUUAAUUGGCGUUUUGGUAUUAGGGUUGAACCCGUGUGUUUCUCCGCCAUCCUCUGUAACUGAAUUCAAAGAGUGAUUCGUUCAUCUUCUUCCUAUCGAUUUGAAUGAUACCGGUUACAGGUUAACCCUCUUCAAGUUCUUCUUUAAUCCAUACCCCAUGAUCUCUAUUGAAUGCGAUCUUAGCUUCUGGGAGGCGGUGGAAUUGCUACUAUAAAAAGAUUCAGUACACUCUUCCUCUCUUCCUCUCAAUAGACUCCUGCAAAGAUGGAAGAGUCAUGGCUAUAGCUGUCCGAUUUGAAGCCUGGCAUUUGUUCUCAGAUCGUUGUCUUCGCCUCCUCCUCCGCUGUUGAAAUCAUGGGCGUCGAUAUGACUUCUGAGUGAUAAGGUUGGUCUAUUAUUGUCUUUUCGUAAAUAUCUUUACAAUGAUUGGUAUUUUGCAAACUCAUAAAUCAUAAUCAACUCUUUCAUUGCAACAUGAGUCUCCCAUCCAAGCCUCUGUCACCGACCACAUGCUAAACACUUUUAAAAGAAUUCCUCAUUCGGAAUCCGAAGUAUGAGCUAAGUGGAUUCGAUCUGGAUUUGCUGUGAAGAAACAGAUGCUGGAUGAUAGAGGGUUCCCAAAAUAGCAUGUCAACUUGCAGCGACGGUUAUUUCACAUGGAGAAUAAGUAUUUCCAAGAGUGAAAGAAAAAUGUUCCACGAAGCUCUUUUACCUCUCCUUUGUUUCCAUCAAGUUUCUUUUCUCUAUCAAUCAUCACCAGAGGUUUUGCGGUAAACGUUGGAGGAGUUCCAAACAAACCUGAGCUAGGGUGGGGAUAACACUCCUGGAAAUGAUAUGAAACAACAUGUGCUUCUCCUGAGAGCCCUCUAGGUGGAGAAAAAUAGUGGGUGCAUCCAAUAUUAGUCACUACAAAGCAGACUUCCGCAAUCCUGCUGAAACACAAGGUUCAGCAAAAUCAACCAAGCCAAGAAGGUCCGCAAAGCUUAGUAUUAUCAGUGAAGCAUUAUCAAGAAACCACCCAUGCUUUCCACCAUGCUUAAUCCUAGAUUCUCACUUUAUGUCUAGGCAAAUAAGGGUUUGGACACUUAGUCCACCAUUUUCUUUAAAUACGUUUGUUGCAAUUCUGGUUCUGUAGCUUUUUCAAUCCUUUGAUAUUUUAAGAUAUAAAUUAUUAUUAGGUUC